UCCAUUUCAUGACAAAUUUAAGCAAGCUCCAUCCUCGUUCUCCCUGCAGGUGGAAUAUCAUGGAUGGGGCAUGGAAACAGACCUGCCCGCAUUGAGCCCAGUGCAGCUCUCUGUGCAAUGGAUCUUGAACGUCCCUUGCCUGCCUCCAUGUCCUCCAGCUGUUGCCUCAACUAUUGCCUUCUCGACAUGUCUGAGUGGAAUGAGGAAGCCCUUCCUCCACACCCCACAACACCUUGGACCUUCGUAGACAGAAAUGUUCUCGUUUCUUAUCCGCCUGUCCCUGCCCACUGGUCUUUAGAACACGAGUGGCUUACACAUGGCCAUUGAAUAAGAGUCUGUCAAGCAAAUGAAAUGGCCAAAAUACAACAGAAUAAAUUGCGACUGAAUUACAAUCAAACUCCCUUUUCCCUGAAAGGUUUAUUUCUUGGCAGCAUUGGAUAGGUGUUCCCUCCGAGGCCACACAAAGUGAUUCGGCCUGGAGUCCCAGGAUGCGGAAAAUCUUCAAUCUCCUCUUGGAGUUUGUCUGUUCCAGGUUCCAGGAGCACCCAAGUGGGCUCUAAUCAAGUGUGACUGUCCCUCAAAUCUGUGUCACCUUGCAGAUGUUCAACGGAAGGAACUGUGUGAGCGCAAGUGAUAGAUGCCUAUCCCGAAGCUCAACAGCAAGAAGAAACGCUGACUCCACUCUCACUGCAGAGCUGGGAGGAAAAGCAAGAGCUUUAUUUACUUAGCGCUCCCCAAAUUCUUAA
ensembl:lincRNA